CCAGAUGAAGACAAAAAAAAAUCUCCAACACCAAAAUCCCCUUUAAACACAAACUACAUACAUCCAGUACCGUGUUUGGACUACGAAUUUGAAAUCUGCAGUACAACCAAAGUUCCUCCUCAGUUCAGCUUAGCCAGGUGAGCAGUGAGCCCAGCUGCCCCGGGGAUCCAACACAGCGUUUACUAAAGCCCUAAGCUUUGGGAGGCAUCAUUCAAGGAGAGGCGAUGAUAAUUAGGCAUGUUAAAGAACCCAUUCUCUCCCUCCUCCGCCUGCCUGCUCUGCUUUGACCACACAGACUAAGGAACCUGGCUCCAGGGCUGAGGGGGAGAGACAAAAUGGACACAGGCAGGCAGGGAGGCCGAGACUGUCCCCUCCUCUGCUGUGGAGGUGCUCAGGGUGUAACCGCCACACAGGCCUGAAAUGCAGACCAAGCAGACCAAUAGAGGACCAUGCAGCAAACGGCUAUGGCAGACAAUUUCAUGCACCGCAGCAUCGCGUCCUCGCUGGAGAAUGGCCAAGUAGACAGAAUCAAUAGAGCACCUGCCUCUUCACGUCAGUCAACCGAUCACAGACAGCAGAUCACUGAGAGCAUACGGCCCAAAAAUGUUGUUUUCUUGGCAGUAGUUCUCCGUAUACGGGUUAAAAAUAACAGAUAUUGACACUGACAAGCACCUAAAUUGGAAGGCAGUUGCUGUAAAGUACUACGCUAUACAUGACGUCAGAGCUCAAGGUCUACGCUUCACAGCCCAGUAAUGGUUUUGACUGACAGCAGUUCUGAAGUUGAACACCACGCGCAAAAAGAAUUUGCCCCCAUUUGGGCAACUUUUGCUAAUGUUUUGUUGUUUGAGUGAGGGAAAUGCUGUAAAUAAAGAGGACUUGAUGUAUUUUGAAAGAUGA